AGCGGUGGAGUAUGUGGCUUAAUUCGAUGCAACGCGAAGAACCUUACCAAGGCUUGACAUGCAUCUGUCAGCACGUGAAAGCGUUUGUCCCUUCGGGGAAUUUGCACAGGUGCUGCAUGGCUGUCGUCAGCUCGUGUCGUGAGAUGUUGGGUUAAGUCCCGCAACGAGCGCAACCCUUGUGCACUAGUUGCCAGCACGUAAUGGUGGGAACUCUAGUCAGACUGCCCAGAUCAAGUGGAGGAAGGUGGGGACGACGCAGGUCAGUAUGC
rnacentral:rRNA from 1 species